GGCACCGUGGCUUAGGUGGUUAAAGCGCCUGUCUUGUAAGCAGGAGAUCGCGAGUUCGAGUGUCGCCAGUGCCU
rnacentral:tRNA from 1 species